rnacentral:rRNA from 1 species
AUCGAACGCUGGCGGCAGGCCUAACACAUGCAAGUCGAGCGGUUGAAGGGAGCUUGCUCCUGGAUUCAGCGGCGGACGGGUGAGUAAUGCCUAGGAAUCUGCCUGGUAGUGGGGGAUAACGUCCGGAAACGGGCGCUAAUACCGCAUACGUCCUGAGGGAGAAAGUGGGGGAUCUUCGGACCUCACGCUAUCAGAUGAGCCUAGGUCGGAUUAGCUAGUUGGUGGGGUAAAGGCCUACCAAGGCGACGAUCCGUAACUGGUCUGAGAGGAUGAUCAGUCACACUGGAACUGAGACACGGUCCAGACUCCUACGGGAGGCGGCGGUGGGGAAUAUUGGACAAUGGGCGAAAGCCUGAUCCAGCCAUGCCGCGUGUGUGAAGAAGGUCUUCGGAUUUUAAAGCACUUUAAGUUGGGAGGAAGGGCAGUAAGUUAAUACCUUGCUGUUUUGACGUUACCAACAGAAUAAGCACCGGCUAACUUCGUG